GCGCCCUCUGAACUGAUGAUGAUGUCGUCAUGCAGAAAAGAUGGUGGAAUCGUUAUUAACACGCUUCGGUUCAGCACUUGUGCUUCCAUCGCAGCAAGCGAUAAUUUGAUUCAAUUUAUUCAAACUGUCAAAAAUGUGUCUGUGCCCGUGCGUGUGUAUGGGUGAAAAAGGGCUUCUAUCGAACACUUUGAAGUCCAUUCGCAAGUCGGCGGCAUCAUUUGCGUUCGGUCGCUAGAGUUCCCUGGAAAGUAUUGUUCGAGGUUCGUUCCUGUGCCGGUUUUUUUUUGUAGUUUCCUGGCGAUAUUCAAAACAGUGCGCGAAGGCUUUAGCUGAUCCACUGUGUGCUUUGUGUGGUGGUUCGGAAAAUGAAACGGCUAAUCCUUAUGCCAUUAGAAAGAUUAGGAAACAAUUGCAGAUAUGCUUUCAUUACUGCUUGCUUAUGAUGUCGGAGCACUUGUCCUAGUUCGCACGUGCCGGUUCUGCUGGUGCUACUGUUGCUGGUACGUGCCUAAAUGCCGAAGGUCGCACCGCACCGAAACGAUGCUCGUCGGGGACCUUUUUCUUCUCGGGCGGCAUGUUGCAGACCGAGUUGAAUACACACACACACACGCGCGCGCAGAAAGUGAAGGAAAAAGUACUUUCGGACACUCAACAGGUGUUUAGGAAACUCAGCGCAGGAUGUAACGAGAGUUUGUGCAACAUUUGUGCUUCUCGAGCGCUGCUGCUUACCCUUCAAAACGAUCUCACCUUCGGCAAAUGGGACGGCGAGCGGUGGGAAAGCCACCCAAAAAACAAAUGGGAUUGUAAUUGGUGUGGUUGUUGCGGUUGCGGCGUGAACGAACCCGUUACUGCUUGCAUCUCAUGGAGCCGCCUGGUGGCUGAUGGUUUGGUUGCGUGCGUCGGCGAGCGAAAAAUAGCUAAUCGAACAUGUUCGUGCACAAGCGAUCACGAUUGCAAGAAUAAGGGAGCCAAUAACCUGAGCAAAAAACCUGCAGCUAACCUUGCACAGUCAUGAAUAACACAUCGCGUAGCAUAUCAGCUGUGCAUCAUCGUCUUGCAGACUGUGGCAAUGAGGUAAGGUUUGAAUCGAACGAAGCAAGUGUUUCGUCCCAAAAUUAGCCCAAAUUGUUUGGAAUUGAGCGUUGGGUGUACAAAUAGCAACAUCAUUUAGCAAAAUAUCACAAACAAAGCGUCUCGCACGACUUCAAAGUGUGCCCGUUCGAUUCUGCAAAUAUGUCACGAUGAAUAAUCGGUUUAGUACCUCAGCGAAAUGGCAUGUAAUAAACCGUUUUAUUUAGCCGUGCGAGGGGGCAUGUUUGUGUGUGGUCUAACCGAAAGUACGGUUGAAAAAAAAGAAGGUACGCCCAAAAGUAUGCGGGGCCCGGUCGACGAUGUAGGUUGCGGCCCGCUCGCAAUCCAACGCAUUCGAUGGCAAUUGUGAGUGGCCUUGCCAUAAAGACUAGAAUUAAGAUGCUGCUAAAAAUAGUCCGCCUAGCGGAGUACGACAUACCCCCAAGAGAGGGGGAGGGAUGGGGGAGUUCAUUGCGUUGUAAUUCCUGUUGGAUUGGCACAAACAAAGCAAAAAAGAGGGUGAGAGUGGAGGCGGGGGAAUGAAACCGAAUCGGAUGAUUUAACGUUAGAAGGCGAAAGAGACUCAUCUACCCCUGUGUGCGUGUGUGUGUGUGUGUGUGUGUGUGUGUGUGCCGGUCGGGUAUUAAUUGUGGGUCCCGUGCACAACAAUUGCAGACAACACACCGGGAAGUGCCAGCAAAGAUAGAGAGGAAGAAAGCUUUUCCUAGGAUUUGCAGGUCUAACACGUUCGAGGCGAGCCGCCGGGGGCCUCAAUAGUAAGCACGCCCAGGUAUGUCGCUGUGGCUGCGAUUAUAAAAAUAAUUGGUUGCCCGGCAAAAUUAAAA